rnacentral:rRNA from 1 species
CAACUUUCAGCAUUGGAUGUCUAGGCUCGCACAUCGAUGAAGAACGCUGCGAACUGCGAUACGUAAUGCGAAUUGCAGGAUUCAUUGAGUCAUCGAAAUUUUGAACGCAUAUUGCACUUCCGGGUUAGUCCUGGGAGUAUGCCUGUAUCAUUGUCCGUACAUCAAACUU